rnacentral:rRNA from 1 species
UACAGAGGUCUCGAGCGUUGUUCGGAUUCAUUGGGCGUAAAGGGCGCGUAGGCGGCGGGGUAAGUCUGGUGUGAAAUCUCGGAGCUCAACUCCGAAAUUGCACUGGAUACUGCUCUGCUAGAGGGCUGGAGAGGAGAUCGGAAUUCACGGUGUAGCAGUGAAAUGCGUAGAUAUCGUGAGGAAGACCAGUGGCGAAGGCGGUUCUCUGGGCCUGACCUGACGCUGAGGAGCGAAAGCGUGGGGAGCAAACAGG